UCAAACGAGGAAAGGCUUACGGUGGAUACCUAGGCACCAGAGACGAGGAAUGGCAUAGUAAUUGAUGAAAUACUUUGGGGAGUUGAAAAUAAGCAUAGAUCCAGAGAUUCCUUAAUAGGGAAACCUUUCGAACUACUGCUGAAUCCAUGGGCAGGCAAGAGACAACUUGGCGAACUGAAACAUCUUAGUAGCCAGAGGAAAAGAAAGCAAAAGCGAUUCCCGUAGUAGUGGCGAGCAAAAUGGGAGCAACCUAAACCGUGAAAACGGAGUUGUAGGAGAGCAAUACAAGCGUCGUGCUGCUAGGCGAAGCAACUUGAAUGCUGCACCUUAGAUGGCGAAGUUUAAUAGCCAAAAACAUCACUAGCUUAUGCUCUGACCCGAGUAGCAUGGGGCACGUGGAAUCCCGUGUGAAUCAGCAAAGACCACCUUGCAAGGCUAAAUAUUCAUGGGUGGCCGAUAGCGAAGUAGUACCGUGAGGGAAGGGUGAAAAGAACCCUCAUUGGGGAGUGAAAUAGAACAUGAAACCAUAAGCUCCUAAGCAGUGGGAGGAGCAAGGGUUCUGACCGCGUGCCUGUUGAAGAAUGAGUCAGCGACUCAUAGGCAUUAGCUUGGUUAAGGAAACCCACCGGAGCCGUAGAGAAAACGAAUAUUCAUAGGGCAAUUGUCACUUUUUAUGGACCCGAACUGGGUGAUCUAUCCAUGACCAUGGUGAAGCUUGGGUGAAACUAAGUAGAGGUCAAAACCGACUGAUGUUGAAGAAUUCGCGAAUGAGUUGUGGUUAGGGGUGAAAUGCCACUUCAACCCAGAGCUAGCUGGUUCUCCCCGAAAUGUGUUGAGGCAUAUCAGUUGACUGGACAUCUAGGGGUAAAGCACUAUUUUGGUGCAAGCCGCGAGAGCGGUUUCAAAUCGAGGAAAACUCUGACUACUAGAUAUGACCUCAAAAUAACAUGGGUCAAGGUCGACUAGUGAGACGAUGGGGGAUAAACUUCUUCGUCGAGAGGGAAACAACCCGGAUCACCAGCUAUGCCCCCUAAAUGACCGCUCAGUGAUAAAUGAGGUAAGGGUGCAGAGACAACCAGGAGGUUUUCCAAGAAGCAACCACCCUUGAAAGAGUAUGUAAUAGCUCACUGAUCGAGUGCUCUUACGUCGAAGAUGAACGGGGCUAAACGGUUUGCCAAAGAUGUGGGAUGUAAAAAUACAUUGGUAGGAGAGCAUUCCGCCUUACAGAGAAGCCUCCGCGUGAGCAUUGGUGGACGAAGCGAAAGCGAGAAUGUCGGCUUGAGUAACGUAAACAUUGGUGAGAAUCUAUUGCCCUAAAAACCUAAGGGUUCCUCCGCAAGGUUCGUCUAUGAAGGGUGAGUCUGGGUCUAAGAUUAGGCCGAAAGGCGUAGUCUAUGGACAACAAGUGAAUAUUCAUGUACUACCCCUUGUUAGUCCCGAGGGAUGAAUGAGGCAAGGUUAGCCAAAGGAUGAUUAUCGGUUCAAGAACAUAAGGUGUCCCUGCUUUUCAGGGUAAGAAGGGGUAGAGAAAAUGCCUCGAGCCAAUGUUCGAAUACCAGGCGCUACGACACUGAAGUAACCCAUGCCAUACUCCCAGGAAAAGCUCGAACGACAUUAAGAAAGAGGGUGCCUAUACCUAAAAUUGACAUAGGUGGGUAGGUAGAGAAUACCUAGGGGCGCGAGACAACUCUCUCUAAGGAACUCAGCAAAAUAGCCCUGUAACUUCAGGAUAAGGGGUGCCUCCUCAGAAAUAAGGUCGCAGUGACUAGGCCCGAGCGUCUGUUUACCAAAAACAUAGGUCUCCGCAAAGUCAUAAGACCAUAUAUGGGGGCUGACGCCUACCCAAUGCCGGAAGGUCAAAGAAGUUGGUGACCUGAUGACAGAGGAGCCGGCGACCGAAGCCUUGGUGAACGACGAUCAUAACUAUAACGGUCCUAAGGUAGAUAAAUUCCUUAUCGGGUAAGUUCCGACAUGCACGAAAGGCGUAACAAUCUGGGCACUUUUUUGGAGAGAGGCUCAGUGAAAUAAACAUAUCUGUGAAGAUGCGAACUACCUGCACCUGGACAAAAAGACCCUAUGAAGGCGAAGAAGGCCUCCUUUUGGGGGUACCCGAGCCAUCAAUAAGAUACCACUCUAGAAGGGCUAGAAUUCUAACCUUGUGGCAGGACCUACGGGCUAAGGGACAGUCUCAGGUAUACAGUUUCUAUGAGGCGUAGGCCUUCUAAAAGAUAACAGAGGUGUGCAAAGGUUUCCUCGGGCAGGACGGAGGUUGGCCCUCGAGUGCAAAGGCAGAAAGGAGCUUAACUGCAAGACCCACUCAUCGAGCAGGGACGAAAGUAGGCCUUAGUGAUCCGACGGUGCCGAAUAGAAGGGUUGUCACUUAACGAAUAAAAGCUACUCUAGGGAUAACAAGCUAAUAUUCCCCAAGAUAUCACAUCGACGGGAAGGUUUGGCACCUCGAUGACGGUUCUUCGCCACCUGGGCUAUAGUAUGUUCCAAGGGUUGGGUUGUUAGCCCAUUAAAGCGGUACGUGAGCUGGGUUCAGAAUGUCGUGAGACAGUUCAAUCCAUAUCUGGUGUGGGCGUUAGAGCAUUGAUAUGACAUUUCCCUAGUAUGAGAAGACCGAGAAGGACGCACCUCUGGUGUACUAGUUAUCGUGCCCACGAUAAACGCUGGGUAGCCAAGUGCGGAACGGAUAACUGUUGAAAACAUCUAAGUAGUAAGCCCACCCCAAGAUGAGUGCUCUCCUAUUCUGACUUCCCCAGAGCUUUUGGUAGCACAACCGAGACAUCGACGGGUUCUCUGCCCAUACGGGGAUGGAACGACAUAAGUUUUUUUUAGAAUUCAAGAGAAGGUCACGACGAGAUGAGUCGUUUAUUAUUACAAUAUGUGUCAAGUGGAAGUGCAGUGGUGUAUGUAGUUGAGGCAUCCUAACUGACCGGUAGACUUGAACCU
rnacentral:rRNA from 1 species